AAGCUGCCGCAACAGCGGGCUAGGGCUCCGCUAAGCUCAGCGUGAGCCUUCGAGAACCGCGGCCCGCGGGAGCCGGAGGGAGGGGGCCAGCCUUUGCAGCACGCGAAGAAAAAGGUUUCUGUGCCUCGCGGCCAGAGUGGGAAAAAGAAGUGGAGAUGCAUCUGAAAUCGGCUGGAAACAGAGGCGCCCCGUUCAUGCUUCCCUGAGGCGCUCUGUUACCCAAAGCUUUGAUGGAGGCCGGGUGUGUCCGCCCCACACCCGGCGACAGCGCGGGUGCGCGGGGGGGUGGUACCUUCUGCCUCUUUCCAACCUCCCACGUCAGCCUGCUCCCAGGACUCCAGAGUUUAAAACUGGCAGUGAGGUCACCAGGGACCGCAUUAUAAAAUCUGCUACUACUCACGGAAGACUCAUUACUUCCCUGGCACAGCCGAACAAAUGGAGGCUAGGAGAGAAGAUUCCAGAGGUCGAAGCCUUGGUGACACCAAAAGGUGCGAGGCAGAGAGGUGGUUGUUAGCCCCAUCACCUCAGGCAACCUCCCCAGUCCCCCUCCCCACGUAAGGUACAUAAUUAACAAUUUCUCAACUUGUGAAAACGCAAGUAAAGGCAUUUUUUAAAUCGCGA